rnacentral:rRNA from 1 species
ACUAGUAUUAGAGGCACUGCCUGCCCAGUGACAUACGUUUAACGGCCGCGGUACCCUGACCGUGCAAAGGUAGCAUAAUCACUUGUUCUUUAAAUAGGGACUCGCAUGAAUGGCAUCACGAGGGUUUAACUGUCUCUUACUUCCAACCAGUGAAAUUGACCUGUCCGUGAAGAGGCGGACAUGAAGCAAUAAGACGAGAAGACCCUGUGGAGCUUCAAUUUAUCGGUACAAUUAAAAACUACACAAACCUACGGGCCCUUAAAUUUCCAUACCUGUACCAGAAAUUUUGGUUGGGGCGACCUCGGAGCAUAACUAAACCUCCGAAUAAUCCAUGCUAAGACCACACAAGUCAAGACAACCUAGCACUUACAAUUGACCCAAUAGUUUGAUCAACGGAACAAGUUACCCCAGGGAUAACAGCGCAAUUCUAUUCUAGAGUCCAUAUCGACAAUAGAGUUUACGACCUCGAUGUUGGAUCAGGACAUCCUAAUGGUGCAGCAGCUAUCAAGGGUUUGUUUGUUCAACA